AAAAUAUAUGAACUAUCAAUAAAAAUUUUACUAACUUUCACUUGUAUAAGAAAUAUAAUAAUAUUUUAUAAAAAUUAAUAUUUUAUAUAUAAUAAAAUAUAUUAUUAUAGUAAUAAUAUUAUAUUUUUUUAGUGGUGUCUAUGUCGUAUCCGUGUUCUAAUUUUUUGAAAGUUGUCGAGUCGCGGUGUUCGAGUCGUGUCGUAUUGUGUCUCGUAUCCUGUGUCAGUGUCCGUGACCUAGUCAGUGACGUCAUCGCU
rnacentral:lncRNA from 1 species